rnacentral:lncRNA from 1 species
AUGCCAGCACACUGGGGAGAUGCAUUCCCCAUGCAAGAUAUGCAUGGGGAUGAAGGAGAAAAUGACAGAACUAACAUGAAGCCCCUUUUCCUGGGUGCAGCCUUAGCUUUUCAAGAGAGGAACACAUUUCAGGGAAGCUGUCUCUCAGCUUGUCACACAAUGACAUCCUCCUUGUAGCCUUUUUGUGAAAGAUGAGGUAAUAUCCAACCUUUGAAAUCAUCUUUGCUGUAAAUAUCUCAACAUCAGUUUACUGUUAAUAACUCCAAAUAGGAAAAAAAUAAGAUAGACAAUCAGACAAGGGGACCGGAGCAGCAGAAAAUAAUUGGACUCUCUGAAUUGUACCAUUCUCAAGAGGAAUUAUCGGAGCACACUGUUUCUUCCCCAGACCAUGCUGCGCAUCCCUUGGAAUCGCU